rnacentral:tRNA from 3 species
GUAGAUAUAGUUUCAACAAAAACAUUAGAUUGUGAUUCUAAAAACAGGGGUUGAAAUCCCCUUAUCCACC